GUCGGGUUUGUCGAGCGGGCGAGCGAGAGCGGGCGACCGUCUGAUGACUUCCUGUGCAAUCUGAGCAAACAGCAAAGCUCCCCAGAAGCCGUCAGAUGCUNGAACAACUGCUUGUGGCGAUGGGAUCUUAAUCUGGACACCCUCCGCACUCAUGAGUUCCCGGGGUAUUUGCUGGUACCGGUAGAUCAAGCUGAUCCUGGAUGUGUUUCCACAUGGCAGAGGUUGGCUAGUCUGAAGAAAAUCUGAAGGCAUUCCAGCAAGCAGUGAACAUGUGUAUAAAUUGCUGCCUUGAUGCUGUUUGCAGCCAUCUUCUGUUUUCCUCACUUAGAGUGUAGUAUUCUGGAAGCAACAGAGGACUCAGGGCCAUGCUGAAUGAUCACACAUUUACCCAGAAAGUGCAGAUAACCUCAGUCUCAUUCUUGGCCCAGGCAUGGAGAGCUCAGAAGUUGAAUCAGACUUUCUCAGAAGCGUGCAUGCCCUCCUCCGGGAACUUGAUGGCCACCAUCCAGCCUUCCAGAGUGAGAGAGGGAUGCUGCGAUGGACCUUGCACAAGAAAAUUGAUAGGAAUCCUAGCAAUGGAGUUGUCUUGAUUAAAAUUUUGGUGAAAGAACUGGAAAGGGCAGAGAGAUGCAACCAUCCACAAUACAUUAUACCGUUGCUUCACACACUGAUGUAUACACUGAUAAAGGUGCCUUGCAUUCCUGAUGAUUUGUAUGAGAGAGUAUACAAUUUCUGCAAGAAGUUACUCACUCUGCCCAAACCUUACUGCACCAUUGGUCUGGAUUAUGCUCAACGGCUUAAGCUGGAACGAACAAUACCAGGUACCUAGCAGACCAUGUUUGUUUUGUUAUGUUGCAUUCAUUUCUUCAGUGCUUAGGGAGAAAGGAGGGAUUGUCUGAGUGUUAUAUCUGAAAGGUCAUAGAGG
rnacentral:lncRNA from 1 species